AGGAUGAUCAGCAACACUGGACUGAGACACGGCCCAGACUCCUACGGGAGGCAGCAGUGGGGAAUCUUGGACAAUGGGGGCAACCCUGAUCCAGCCAUGCCGCGUGAGUGAUGAAGGCCUUAGGGUCGUAAAGCUCUUUCGCCAGGGAUGAUAAUGACAGUACCUGGUAAAGAAACCCCGGCUAACUCCGUGCCGGCAGCCGCGGUAAUACGGAGGGGGUUAGCGUUGUUCGGAAUUACUGGGCGUAAAGCGCGCGUAGGCGGAUUGGAAAGUUGGGGGUGAAAUCCCGGGGCUCAACCCCGGAACUGCCUCCAAAACUAUCAGUCUAGAGUUCGAGAGAGGUGAGUGGAAUUCCGAGUGUAGAGGUGAAAUUCGUAGAUAUUCGGAGGAACACCAGUGGCGAAGGCGGCUCACUGGCUCGAUACUGACGCUGAGGUGCGAAAGUGUGGGGAGCAAACAGGAUUAGAUACCCUGGUAGUCCACACCGUAAACGAUGAAUGCCAGUCGUCGGCAAGCAUGCUUGUCGGUGACACACCUAACGGAUUAAGCAUUCCGCCUGGGGAGUACGGUCGCAAGAUUAAAACUCAAAUGAAUUGACGG
rnacentral:rRNA from 1 species